AUGUUUCAGCAGUGCAUAAACAAAACAACUGCAAUGAUACCAAGAUGAUUAGCACAGCCCCUGCACAAUAAUGACACCCAAAUUUGUGAAGUGUUCUAUAUUUUU